rnacentral:rRNA from 1 species
UACAGAGACUGCAAGCGUUAUUCGGAUUCACUGGGCGUAAAGGGUGCGCAGGCGGCCAAGUGUGUUAGGCGUGAAAGCCUGGGGCUUAACCCCAGAAUUGCACCUAAAACUACAUGGCUAGAGCAUUGGAGAGGGUAGCGGAAUUCACGGUGUAGCAGUGAAAUGCGUAGAUAUCGUGAGGAACACCAGAGGCGAAGGCGGCUACCUGGACAAUUGCUGACGCUCAGGCACGAAAGCGUGGGGAGCAAACAGG